rnacentral:misc_RNA from 1 species
GUGAAUCAUCAAAUUUUUGAACGCAAAUUGCGCUUCCUGGCAUCCCGGGAAGUAUGCCUGUUUGAGGGUCAGUAUUACUAAAAAAUAGGUUUAGUUACAAAUUGUGACGUUUCCGGAGUUUGGGAUAUCUUAACAUUUUUGGUUAAGAGGCUUAAAAUUGACCUUUUUUGCGCAUUUUUAUACGUACAUAAAUUUUUUUAUUCGUUCAUUAAUAAUUGCCAAUUCU